rnacentral:rRNA from 1 species
UACGUAGGGUGCGAGCGUUGUCCGGAAUUAUUGGGCGUAAAGAGCUUGUAGGCGGUUUGUCGCGUCUGCUGUGAAAAUCCGGGGCUCAACUCCGGACUUGCAGUGGGUACGGGCAGGCUAGAGUGUGGUAGGGGGAGACUGGAAUUCCGUGGUGUAGCGGUGGAAUGCGCAGAUAUCAGGAGGAACACCGAUGGCGAAGGCAG